CGAGCUUAACUUGGGAACUGCCAUUGAUACUGCAAGUCUUGAAUUUUCUGGAGGUAAGCGGAAUAUGUCAUGUAGCGGUGAAAUGCUUAGAUAUGACAUAGAACACCCAUUGCGAAGGCAGCUUACUACGGGAAUAUUGACGCUGAGGCACGAAAGCGUGGGGAUCAAACAGGAUUAGAUACCCUGGUAGUCCACGCCCUAAACGAUGAUUACUCGACAUUAGCGAUAUUACAGUUAGUGUCUAAGCGAAAGCAUUAAGUAAUCCACCUGGGAAGUACGACCGCAAGGUUGAAACUCAAAGGAAUUGGCGGGGGUCCGCACAAGUGGUGGAGCAUGUGGUUUAAUUCGAUGAUACGCGAGGAACCUUACCUGGGCUAGAAUGCUGGGAGAUCGAUGGUGAAAGCCAUCUUUGUAGCAAUACACUGCCAGUAAGGUGCUGCAUGGCUGUCGUCAGCUCGUGCCGUGAGGUGUUGGGUUAAGUCCCGCAACGAGCGCAACCCCUAUCUUUAGUUGCCAUCAGGUAAUGCUGGGAACUCUAAAGAAACUGCCGCCAUAAGACGUGAGGAAGGAGGGGAUGAUGUCAAGUCAUCAUGGCCUUUAUGCCCAGGGCUACACACGUGCUACAAUGGGAAGGACAAAGGGCUGCCACUUAGCGAUAAGGAGCUAAUCCCAAAAACCUUCUCUCAGUUCAGAUUGGAGUCUGCAACUCGACUCCAUGAAGCUGGAAUCACUAGUAAUCGUAUAUCAGCAAUGAUACGGUGAAUACGUUCCCGGACCUUGCACACACCGCCCGUCAAACCAUGGAAGCUGGGUGUACCUAAAGUCGGUAACCGCAAGAGCCGCCUAGGUAAAACUAGUGACUGGGGUUAAGUCG
rnacentral:rRNA from 1 species